rnacentral:lncRNA from 1 species
GUUUCUUAUUAAGGAUGCUUGAAUGUGUAAUAGUCAUUAUAACCCAUGAUUAACCUAUGAUAACAUUUGGGUUUAAUUUCAGAGGACUGUUGGAAUAAAGCAAUAACUGCAGUCUGCUAUAGUAAAACUUUUUGCAAGUGGUGGUAAUUUGAAACUGUAUUCAGCUGCUAGUUGAAAAUGGAGAUACAGUUUUAUAAAAAAUGGUUUAUCAGUGGAUCACUUUAGAUUCAGAUUCAUCUGUAUCUUCUAUAUUAAUGUUUCAGGUACUGAAGUACAGAAUUGGGAGUGACUAUCU